AUGGGCGAUUCCCUAUGGGAGGGUGCUAUCGAAGGCCACACGAAAGACUAUAAGGUCCUAGGUCACGCCUGGCAGAUGGUAAUCAAUGCCUUGCAAUCUAUGAAAGAGGAGCGCCGUGUCGCUGAGGCAGCCUCGCAGCUGCUGCACCCUGCUGUCGACACAGCUACCGUAGCACCAGGUGGCUCUCGUCUCUUCGCUCAGCCUCAAGGUUGCCCCAAGGGGUUGGUGGAGAAACUGAAAGAGAGUGUUUCGGACCUGCGGCGGCGAGAAGAGCCACUACCAAUCUGCGAGGAUGUCCCUGAAGGGGAUACGGGCUCUGACGAGGACGAAGGGAGUUCAGCUUCGGCUCCCCCGCUUGCAACGGCUCCUCCUUACACUCAUCUGGAGGCUGAAGUGCAGGACUUGAAGUGGCGACUAGAGACACUCGUGACUGUGCCACGACCAGCGGCUCCUCCACCCAUAGCAUCGGCUUUGUCGCCGGGAUCAGAGCUAAUGACGCUACCAGGGAAGGGGGGUGGUGGAACGGGGGGUGCGGAUCGAUGGUUGCGGGUGAUAAGGGACGCGUUAAUGGCUGGGGAGGGAGAUAUGGUGCAACAUGUAGCUUGUCCAGUGCUGAUUGAUCAGCAGCAUAAUACUGCGCGGUGGGCAAAUCAUGAUUGGAAAAUUUUACAACAGGCGCGGCGCACAGUGACUGAGUAUGGUUUGCAAUCAUCAACCACCCAAGAGAUACUGGGUUGGAUUUUUUCCACAGAUAUGAAUGCUCCUUUUGAUUGCAUUAAUCUUAUGAAGUUGCUGUUUACGCCCAUGCAAUUUAUGUUAUGGGAGCGAGAGUGGCAGCGACAAGCUGAAACAGUGGCAGCCCUCCCUAGACCGCAGGGUGACCCUCUAUAUGCAGUUAUGGCACAAAUGCUGACAGGGUUAGGACCGUUUGCUUCUAUUCAGGCACAGUUACAGUUUCCACUUGCGAUUCACCAUGAAUCUGCCAGGUUAGCUCAAAUAGCCUUGCGAGCAGUCCCGGCAGAAAAGCCUACCCCUGCUUUUGCAAAUGUGCGGCAGGGACCGACUGAAAAUUUUGCUGCGUUUGUGGAUAGGCUGUGGGCGGUGCUUCAGGCACGGGUAGAUAUGGGGGAAGAUGUUAAGCAACAGUUGUUGCGGACGCUGGCUUAUGAGAAUGCCUCAGAAAAAACAAAAAUGUUGUUAGCAACGUUACCACGUAGUGCAACAGUUGUAGAAAUGGUCGAAUGA
rnacentral:lncRNA from 1 species